rnacentral:lncRNA from 1 species
UUGCUGUUGAUUAGCAAAUUAGCAAGUCUGUGCUUUUCAACUUAGCUAAUGUUGCCAAUUAAGGAGCACUUUAUUAGCUACAUGGAUGGGAGUUUACUACUUGGUUAUUUAAAGUACAUGCUGAGUCACACGAUCUGUUUACACACAUCAAACCCUUCAGGAGGACAGAAUUAGUUUCUAACAGUGGCAGAGUUAUUUGCCAGGCUCUCACCUUCUACCAAAAGCUAAGCGAUUAGUUAAUCUGCGUGGUUUACACAAAAGUAAAAUCCAGCCCAAUAAAAACUUACAGUCAACUCUUUUCAGCAGCACCCGAUGCCAGGCUGAAACAGGCUGGCAUCAUACAGCCCUGCUUCUCUGCAGUUCAACUGUGGCUUGGAAACACAUUAUUGGAUUCCUCUGUGUCUUAAAUUUCACUAGUGAAAUUCCUGAUGCUUCCUCAUCCUUCCCCCUACCCUCCUUCAGCUAUGGCUUAGUAUUCCUGUUUGAGGCACCCUUGGUGUCUCAGGAGGGAUGAAUUCAAGUACCAGCCUCUCCCUAGAACUACUGUCUGGGAUGGCUGGUUUUCACCAAACUCUGAAGCAUAGGCUUGCAAUCAUUGAACUUGCACAACAGUAGCAAGUUCCUUAAAAACUCAAGUAGGAAAGGCAGAGAUCACAGAACCUCUCUAAGCCUGGUUUCCCCAAGCUAAUAAUCAUGAGGGGAACCGUCAGGCAGGUCUUGCAGGACACCCCCCAUGUGUGAGACAUUGUGAACCCUGCCAAAGGACACGCAGCAUUAGUGCCAAUUGCCCGGUCACCAGCUAUCACCUUCCCCCAUCGCUGGCAAGGGUCCUGAACAGCUUAACAAGGCCUAGCACAGUGUCACCAGACUCAAAGCUGCUACCUUAAAAACAAAGCAAUGGGCACCUUGGUCAUACUGGCAUCACCUUAAGCCCUUACACCUACAAAAAGGAGAGAUGAGCCCCCUCUCUACACUAUCACCCCCAGGGGAGACCUCAUUCACCAGAUUUGUU